rnacentral:rRNA from 1 species
AUUAUAAGUCGGGAUUUUAUUUUAUUUUAUUUUAUUUAUUAAUUAUUCAGAAAUAUCUUAUUAGUUUAGUAUAUUUAUAGAAAAAUUUAUUUUAAUUAUAGUUUAUUUAACUGUAAAGGUUAUUUUAUUUUAUUUAAAAGCUUAAUUUUAUUUAGUACCUUUUGUAUCAGGGUUUAUCUAUUUAUUUUAUUUAUUUUAAAUAUCCCGAAAUUAAAGGAGUUAAUUUUAAAUGAUUUUUUAUGUUUUAAAAUGAUUUUUAAUUUAAAAUUGGUAAUUAUAUGUUAUUCAACUUUAAAUAUCUGGUUUAUUAAUAAUUGAAUUUAAUUCAUAAUUGUUAAAGUUAAAUAAUAAUUUUAUUUAUAUUAAUUUGAUAAUUAAAUAUUAUGGGGGAUAAGCUCUGUUUUAUUAUUAUAACUUAAAAUUAGAAAAUUUUUGUAGGCUUAGUAACAGCUAUCUUUAAUUUCGUUAUAGUUUAUAUUUUCUUUUAUUUUAUUUAUUCUUAUGUUUAGUUAUUUAUUAAUAUUAUAUAAUUAAUUUUUUUUAUAUGUAAUAAUGAUAAAAUUAGUAGUUUUGUGAUAUUGAAUAUAGUAAUUCGGCAAAUAUUAUCUUCGCCUGUUUAACAAAAACAUGGUUUAUUGAUUAAUAUUUUUAGAUUUGACCUGCUCAAUGAUUUAGUUAAUUAAAUAGCCGCGGUAUAUUAACUGUGCAAAGGUAGCAUAAUCAUUUGUCUUUUAAUUGGNNNNNNNNNNNNNNNNNNNNNNNNNNNNNNGAUAAACUUUCUUUAUUCAAUUUAAAUGAAUUUGAUAUUUUAGUGAAAAAGCUAGAAUUAUUUUGUGGGACGAGAAGACCCUAUAGAAUUUUAUAUUUUAUAGAUUAAUUUAUUAUAUUUAUUAAGAGUAUCUUAUUCUAUUUUUUAUUUAAUUGGGGUGAUUUUGAAAUUUUAAUAACUUUCAUUAAUUAUUUAUUCAAUAAUUUUUGUUUUUAGACUGAUCCUUUAUUAUGGAGUUAAAAGAUUAAAUUACCUUAGGGAUAACAGCGUAAUUCUUUUGGAGAGUUCUUAUCGAUAAAAUAAUUCUUUUGGAGAGUUCUUAUCGAUAAAAUGAGUUUGCGACCUCGAUGUUGGAUUAAAGUUAUUAUUGGGUGUAGAAGCUUAUUUAAUGGGUCUGUUCGACCUUUAAAUCUUUACAUGAUCUGAGUUCAGACCGGCGUGAGCCAGGUUGGUUUCUAUCUACAAUAGGUUUUUAAUAUUUUAGUACGAAAGGACCAAAUAUUAAUAAUAUUUAUUUUAUUUUGAUUAAUAUUA